AUGAAUGAAGGCUUCUGCCCGAUAAUGUCGUGGAAUGUCCGCGACCUAAACCAGCCAGCGAAACGGGCGGCGAUCUGUGAGGUCGUCGCAGCGCACAAAGCAGCAAUCCUGUGCUUGCAAGAAACCAAAAUAGAUGUCUGGACACCUACCAUCGUCAGGGAUAUUGGUGGCGCCGCCCUGACUGAUUCCGUCGUCCUCCCUGCGAUCGGCUCCCGCGGCGGAGCGGCGAUCUUCUGGAACACCGAACUAGUUUGCAUCGCUUCCCACGCCAUAGGUGAAUUCGCGAUCACUGCCAAGGUGACGCUUCUCCGGCAAUCCAAAAGCUUCUGGCUUUCCACAGUUUACGGCCCAGUAGACGAUGCUAGAGAAGCAGCCUUCCUCGACGAGCUAGCUAGAACUGCUCCCCUGGCGCCUGAACCAUGGCUCAUCAACGGAGAUUUUAAUCUCAUCUACGAGGCGAGAGACAAAAACAAUCAUCAGCUCAACCGCAGGAUCAUGGGCAUGUUCAGGCGGGCCAUUGACGUCGCUGGUCUCAAAGAGAUCAAGUGCAAGAAUCGCCGUUUCACCUGGAGUAACGAGUGA
rnacentral:rRNA from 1 species